rnacentral:misc_RNA from 1 species
UCUUUUUUCAUGCUAUUAAGUUUCUCUGUUUGUUUCCUGGGAAAACAUGGGAUUAGGGAAGAGAAAAGGGGCAGCAAAUUGGUUUCGAUUUCUAUUUUUUUCGCCCUUUCUUUCAAAUUUUUAAAUGAAUGGAGAAGUAAAAUGAGUUAAAUUGCGUAUUUGGGCUCAUUCGAGUCGUGAGUGACCUGUGAAUUUGAAAAUCUUACAUCGAAUUCAGUGUUUUGUUUUGCUUUGCUUUUG